ACAUGCCUACAACAUAGCAUUAAUCCAUCAUAUCCCAUUAGAACUUCGCAGUUAAGCGUACUCAGGCUAGAGUAGUACUGGGAUGGGUGACCGCCUGGGAAGUCCUAGUGUUUUACAUGUC
rfam:Picea glauca, whole genome shotgun sequence.